UUUAUUUUCAUUUUCGGGCUUUAAAAUAGCUUAAAAACAUAAACUUAACCUUCUGAUCUUUUUUUUUAGAAUUCCUUAUUCCUUAUUCAUUUCUCAUUUUCAUUUCUAUUUUGAGAAAACCACAUUUAUUUACAAAUGAUUUUGUACAGGCCCAAUUUUGCCCGGCCAAUUUAAACAAAAACCAAAAAAAAUAUAAAAAUAAUAAAAAUAGUCCAUUUUACAUAAAGCCCGAAUACAAGGCCCAAAUCUGACCCAUUUUAUAAACAGACCCUAAACCCCUAACCCAAUCGGCCCAAUAGGCCCAGUGUCCAAACUGGGUCUCAACUAGCCGAAACCCUAGCUACCCUCAGCGCCGCGCCUCCCUUCUGCUGCCCACGUGCUUCAGCAGCGCAUUCGACGCCCGAGGUUCUGCUCCCCAUUGUCCCGUUGCACCAAAACGACCAUCUACAGCCCAUUAACCUUCGUGUACCUGCAAAAUAGAGCAAAAAAGGAAAACAAAAGAGGACAAUAGAGCAAAAAGGCAAAAUAGAGCAGAAACGAAGCAAAAAACAAGCAAAGCAUAGACAGUAGCAUAGAGGAAAUCAAUUGUAUUUUCGGCUAUAAAGCCCAAACAGAAAACAGAUUGUUUUUUUACACAUGCAUACUGAAAUACAAAAAAGCAACUAAAAAUCGAAAGGUGACUUUGAACGUCUUGUAUUUCUUUCUUUUUUGAAUCUGUUUCGUCUUCUUUUUGCAUUUGUUUUUUGGUAUAACGAAAUAAAACAGAGGGCUUACCUCGUGAAUGAGCCACUGGAAUCUAUCAUCUUCGUCGGCAUCGAAGUUUGAAGAGAUUUCAAGGCUGAAAAAGCAACCCGAGGCUCGGGCGGGCUGGUCGCAGUUCAUGGGGGCAGAUCGGCGCCUAGAGGAAUAUUUAAGGAUCGGCUGAGAGGGAUAAAAUGGGGGCUAGGGUUUCCGUAAAAAAAACUGAUGGUCUCAUUUGUUUUCUUAAAUGUUAUAUUUAUAAUAUGGAAGAAACGACGUCGUUUUAAGCCAGUUUCAAUGGCUUCCAAAACGGCACCGUAUAGGAUACCCGAUUUGACCCGACCCGAUUGCCUUUGGGAUCCGCGUGUUUCUGCAGUGAGGGGAUAAUUACACGAUGGGUCCCCCUUUCUCGCAUGAGCAUUCAAUUGCGCCUCGCUUGUUUUGCUUCAUUUUUUUAAUUUGGUUCUAUAGUUCGCGCAUGUUUGCAAACGGGUUCGUGCCUUAACGCAGCGUUUUGGGACCUGGAAAAUUUCCAGAUUUGAUCCUUGUGAAUUCACACGCGUCGCACGUUGGUCCCUAUUGUCUUCCCAAUAAUUUGUUUUAUUUACAGAUUAUCCCUUUUAUUUUAAAUUUAUUUUAAUUAAGUCUGUUAUCUAUACAAUGCUUAUUUUUUAAGGAAUUCGCUUAAAC
rnacentral:lncRNA from 1 species